rnacentral:tRNA from 1 species
GAUGCAGCUCAGUGGUAGAGUGCUUGCCUAGCCUGUGUGAGGCCCUGGGUUCAAUCCUCAGUGCCACA